rnacentral:rRNA from 1 species
UCCUUGAACCGCAUGGUUCAAGGAUGAAAGACGGUUUCGGCUGUCACUUACAGAUGGACCCGCGGCGCAUUAGCUAGUUGGUGAGGUAACGGCUCACCAAGGCGACGAUGCGUAGCCGACCUGAGAGGGUGAUCGGCCACACUGGGACUGAGACACGGCCCAGACUCCUACGGGAGGCAGCAGUAGGGAAUCUUCCGCAAUGGACGAAAGUCUGACGGAGCAACGCCGCGUGAGUGAUGAAGGUUUUCGGAUCGUAAAGCUCUGUUGUUAGGGAAGAACAAGUGCAAGAGUAACUGCUUGCACCUUGACGGUACCUAACCAGAAAGCCACGGCUAACUACGUGCCAGCAGCCGCGGUAAUACGUAGGUGGCAAGCGUUGUCCGGAAUUAUUGGGCGUAAAGGGCUCGCAGGCGGUUUCUUAAGUCUGAUGUGAAAGCCCCCGGCUCAACCGGGGAGGGUCAUUGGAAACUGGGAAACUUGAGUGCAGAAGAGGAGAGUGGAAUUCCACGUGUAGCGGUGAAAUGCGUAGAGAUGUGGAGGAACACCAGUGGCGAAGGCGACUCUCUGGUCUGUAACUGACGCUGAGGAGCGAAAGCGUGGGGAGCGAACAGGAUUAGAUACCCUGGUAGUCCACGCCGUAAACGAUGAGUGCUAAGUGUUAGGGG